rnacentral:rRNA from 1 species
GUGGGGAAUAUUGGACAAUGGGCGCAAGCCUGAUCCAGCCAUGCCGCGUGAGUGAUGAAGGCCUUAGGGUUGUAAAGCUCUUUUGUCCGGGAAGAUAAUGACUGUACCGGAAGAAUAAGCCCCGGCUAACUUCGUGCCAGCAGCCGCGGUAAUACGAAGGGGGCUAGCGGUGUUCGGAAUCACUGGGCGUAAAGCGCACGUAGGCGGACCAUUAAGUCAGGGGUGAAAGCCUGGAGCUCAACUCCAGAACUGCCUUUGAUACUGAUGGUCUCGAGUAUGGAAGAGGUUGGUGGAACUGCGAGUGUAGAGGUGAAAUUCGUAGAUAUUCGCAAGAACACCGGUGGCGAAGGCGGCCAACUGGUCCAUUACUGACGCUGAGGUGCGAAAGCGUGGGGAGCAAACAGGAUUAGAAACCCGUGUAGUCC